GAUGAACGCUGGCGGCGUGCCUAAUACAUGCAAGUCGAGCGAACAGACGAGGAGCUUGCUCCUCUGACGUUAGCGGCGGACGGGUGAGUAACACGUGGAUAACCUACCUAUAAGACUGGGAUAACUUCGGGAAACCGGAGCUAAUACCGGAUAAUAUAUUGAACCGCAUGGUUCAAUAGUGAAAGACGGUUUUGCUGUCACUUAUAGAUGGAUCCGCGCCGCAUUAGCUAGUUGGUAAGGUAACGGCUUACCAAGGCAACGAUGCGUAGCCGACCUGAGAGGGUGAUCGGCCACACUGGAACUGAGACACGGUCCAGACUCCUACGGGAGGCAGCGGUAGGGAAUCUUCCGCAAUGGGCGAAAGCCUGACGGAGCAACGCCGCGUGAAUGAUGAAGGUCUUCGGAUCGUAAAACUCUGUUAUUAGGGAAGAACAAAUGUGUAAGUAACUAUGCACGUCUUGACGGUACCUAAUCAGAAAGCCACGGCUAACUACGUG
rnacentral:rRNA from 1 species